AGCCAAACGACAACAAGAUUCUCAGAGGGCGGAGCCAGAGAGCAGUGAUUGGUCAGACCAUAGAUAAUAUAGAAGACAGCGCGCUAGCGGAUCUAGUCUGUGUUUAUCUAUGGUCGGCAGGUCUGGUAGCAUCUCUGACUGCUGUUGAUCUUGUUUUUGGAGUAAAACACGGUGGAAGCUGAAUUAGUGAGGAUGACUCCUGCUCCUGUCAUCUCUAAGCUCCUCACACAUCUUUACCUGCACAUGAGGAAAAUCACUCCUGUAGAAUGCAGAUGUUCAGAGGGAGAUGAUGCCACAUCUGGUCCAGCUGAUGGAAGGUCUUGAAGUUCUCUGACUGGCCUCGACUGAAGAUGGUCGUCUCACUGGAUUUAAGAUGCACAAUGAGGGACGUCUGCAGAGACUGAGAAAGAGUCUCACCACAUCCUGACAUGAGGAAAAAGACUUUAUUGAAGACUACAAUGAGAAAAACUAUCAGACAGCAGACGGCUGCAUUCAAGGUGAGCUCUGAACAUUUGAUCUGGAACAGGAAUUCAAUAACGGCAGCAUGAGCUUCAUUUCAGUCUGUAGCUGCUGAAUUCAUGGAUGAAUCAUCUGGCACUAGAGAGGAAGACCAUCAAACAUCCACGUCAGCUGAUGGAGGUCCAAGAGUCUCACCCAACAACCUACAGAGUGAAGACCUCCAAUCUGAUUGGACGGCCUCCUAUUCAGCCACAUAUUGUUCCAGAUAAGACGAGUACAAGAUUCUUCAGAGCCGUUCUACCACGAGCCUGACAGGAAGAACUCCAACAGCUACUGAAUGUUCCUGUGGUUCCCUCAAGGCUACAGGAGGAGUCCUACGAGGACAAGCCGGUCCACCUGAUGGUGGCCAGUCGCUGCGGUUCAAAGCCAACACCGACUACGUGAACUUCUACUGGACC
ensembl:lncRNA